rnacentral:lncRNA from 1 species
GUUAUGUUUUUGGUUGCUUCGGUUGCAUUGAGUACUUGUUUUUAGUUCUAGUCUUUUAGAGUUUUGAGUUCUUGUCACCACCUAGUCACAGUUGCGCAUCACCGUAUACCAUUGCUAUUCUAUUCGUGGUGAAGUAUCAGAUGUGGUUCAUACUUGUACUCGAUAUACUAAAUUUUGAGGUUCAGUUUUACUCUAGAGAGGGAGUAUACCCCUACUCUUUCUAGAAAAAGUUUGUGUGGCGAAUUGCUCAUUUACACUCUUUUAUUCAUAUAAUUAGUUUUUGAGGUCCCCUUCAAAAAAGAAAAAGAAAUAAAAGAGAAAGAAAGAAAGAAAAGAUAGAAAGAAAAGAGAAGAAAAAAAGAAAAAAAGGGGCCUAUUCAUAUUGUUUCUAGUAGGGCUGCUCAUUUUGUUUCUAGUGGGGUGUUGUGGUUUAUUUUGUGUCCUAGCUCGUGUCUCUAGCACGGUCUAGGCUACGACCAGCAUAUUACCACCACUGAACAUUAGUUAAGCUUGCUUUUAUAACUAAUGUGGUGCUAGUUUGUUCCUUGUUUUAGCCCAUCUAUAGCUCCACAUAUUCUAGAGCUUGGCAUGUCUUGUUGCUAUGACACCAAUACACUUUAUUCCAUUGUUGUGGACUUGUUGGUAGUCGAUCCCUCCUGUUAAGUAAGGUAAAAAUUGGUAAGAACUUGUCAAACAGGUUGAGUAAGCUCCAUGCUAUAGCCACGUCCUAAUAGUUGUAGAGAUUUUAUUCCUUCACUUGUUUUCUUGUUUCCAUUGUUUAUUUUAAACCA